AUUGAACGCUGGCGGCAUGCCUUACACAUGCAAGUCGAACGGCAGCACGGGAGCAAUCCUGGUGGCGAGUGGCGAACGGGUGAGUAAUAUAUCGGAACGUGCCCAGUCGUGGGGAUAACGUAGCGAAAGCUACGCUAAUACCGCAUACGAUCUAUGGAUGAAAGCGGGGGAUCGCAAGACCUCGCGCGAUUGGAGCGGCCGAUAUCAGAUUAGGUAGUUGGUGAGGUAAAGGCUCACCAAGCCGACGAUCUGUAGCUGGUCUGAGAGGACGACCAGCCACACUGGGACUGAGACACGGCCCAGACUCCUACGGGAGGCAGCAGUGGGGAAUUUUGGGCAAUGGGCGCAAGCCUGAUCCAGCAAUGCCGCGUGCAGGAUGAAGGCC
rnacentral:rRNA from 1 species